GGGUCGGUGGUGUAGUGGUAACAUAUGCCGCGGCAAAAACAGUCGUGUCCGCGGCAAGUCCUAGGUUCAAUUCCUGGCCGACCUG